GAAUUCACUAGUGAUUCAGGCCUAACACAUGCAAGUCGAACGGUAACAGGAAACAGCUUGCUGUUUCGCUGACGAGUGGCGGACGGGUGAGUAAUGUCUGGGAAACUGCCUGAUGGAGGGGGAUAACUACUGGAAACGGUAGCUAAUACCGCAUAACGUCGCAAGACCAAAGAGGGGGACCUUCGGGCCUCUUGCCAUCGGAUGUGCCCAGAUGGGAUUAGCUAGUAGGUGGGGUAACGGCUCACCUAGGCGACGAUCCCUAGCUGGUCUGAGAGGAUGACCAGCCACACUGGAACUGAGACACGGUCCAGACUCCUACGGGAGGCAGCAGUGGGGAAUAUUGCACAAUGGGCGCAAGCCUGAUGCAGCAAGGCCGCGUGUAUGAAGAAGGCCUUCGGGUUGUAAAGUAAUGGCAGCGGGGAGGAAGGGAGUAAAGUUAAUACCUUUACUCAUUGACGUACCCGCAGA
rnacentral:rRNA from 1 species